rnacentral:rRNA from 1 species
AUUGAACGCUGGCGGCAUGCUUUACACAUGCCAGUCGAACGGCAGCGCGGGCUUCGGCCUGGCGGCGAGUGGCGAACGGGUGAGUAAUGCAUCGGAACGUGCCCAGUAGUGGGGGAUAGCCCGGCGAAAGCCGGAUUAAUACCGCAUACGACCUGAGGGUGAAAGCGGGGGACCGAAAGGCCUCGCGCUAUUGGAGCGGCCGAUGUCGGAUUAGCUAGUUGGUGGGGUAAAGGCUUACCAAGGCGACGAUCCGUAGCUGGUCUGAGAGGACGACCAGCCACACUGGGACUGAGACACGGCCCAGACUCCUACGGGAGGCAGCAGUGGGGAAUGUUGGACAAUGGGGGCAAACCUGAUCCAGCCAUGCCGCGUGCGGGAAGAAGGCCUUCGGGUUGUAAACCGCUUUUGUUCGGGAAGAAAUCCUCUGGGCUAAUACCCCGGGGGGAUGACGGUACCGGAAGAAUAAGCACCGGCUAACUACGUG